AGUGAACGCUGGCGGCGUGCCUAAUACAUGCAAGUCGAACGGAGUGGCGCACGGGUGAGUAAUAUAUAGCUAAUCUGCCCCUUGCUGGAGGACAACAGUUAGAAAUGCCUGCUAAUACUCCAUAGCAAGGGAUGAGACUAUAUCGUAUCAGCUAGUCGGUGGGGUAACGGCCUACCGAGGCUAUGACGCGUAACUGGUCUGCGAGGAUGAUCAGUAAAAUUGGAACUGAGACACCGUCCGAACUCCUACGGGAGGGAGCGGUAGGGAAUAUUACGCAAUUGGGGAGACCCUGGAGCGGCAACGCCGCGUGAAGGAUGACACUUUUCGAAGCGUAAACUCCUUUUGUUAGGGAAGCGGUACCUAACGAAUAAGCACCGGCUAACUCCGUGCCAGCAGCCGCGGUAAUUC
rnacentral:rRNA from 1 species